GGACUAGAUGAAGACUAAGGUGGCUUGCAUGCACACGCGAGAGCAACGAUGAGUGGAUCCAAGUGGUGAAGUGGUAUCUGUCAAGGUGCAAUGCCCCAGCAUGGAGGUAUGCUCAUCUAGAGCUCACCGGUUCUCUCUCACUCUCUUCUUCCUCCUUUCUCUCUUUUUUUCAUCUUUCUUAUUUUCUUUUUCUUCUAUCCUUUUGUUUCAUCUCUCUCCUCUCUUCUUUAUCCCUUCC
rnacentral:lncRNA from 1 species